UGGGCGCGCGGGUCAGGCGCUGCCUGUGCGCAGUUUAGCUCUGUGAAACUGUGGCUGCUGCCAGCCCGCUCUGCAACAGAUACUGAGCUGCCGCCUUCUCUGUGGCGGAGAGUGACUGAGCAGCUUGUAGCAUUGUUCACCAUGGAAGGAGAAAAAGGCAAAAUAGAAGAAAAUUGGAUUUGUGAUUAAAAACUGGGAUUAGAAAGCACCCAUCACACCCAAAAAGCAAAUCUAAUUAGCAUCCAUUCAGAAGUGAACAGACAGUUAAACAGCAAGCCACAACCAUACUAAGGCUGAUUACAUGUUUCUCUAGAGUCAAGCUGUCAAAGAUGAGGCCUAAAGGAAUUGGAUAUAGCUUCUGCUAAUUUGAGUAUUUCACUACAGUUAUCAUCAAUGUAUAGUCUUAUUUUGGAUCAAUGGAUCAAUGGCACUGGUGGAAAGGCAUACAUGAGCGCCCCCAUCCAUGGAAUGAGGAAGGCGUCUGAGAGGGAACCCUUGUCCAGACCUUGGAAAGAGCAGAACUGGUGGCACUUCCUGUUCUGUCUGGACAUGAACAGGUUCACCUGGGGAAUUCCUCACCGUUGGAAAAUCACCCUGACCACGUCCAGAUAGAAGGACCACUCAUGACCCAGGUCACGGCAGAUGGAGUGCACCAAGCCGAGAUUUCUCUGUACCUGAUCCGGAGAUCUGCUCUUGAUAAGCCAGUCAUCGAGGUAUGGAAAGAGAUGGACCCCCUGCAGCGUCUGAGGUAAGCAGCCACCGACGUCAUGCACUUUGUAAACACACUCAGGGCUGAAGAGAGGCCAAAGGGUAGUGCCGUGAACUGGAAAUGGCACCCUCACACUACAAAACAAAGUGCCUGUGGCCUGGGAAUAUAGAAAUUUGGAAGUAAGCAUCCUUCAAGUCGAAAGCAGCGUACCAGUCUCCUGGAUCCAGAGAGAGGAUGAUGGAGGCCAAGGAGACCAUGUGAAACUUCAA